rnacentral:rRNA from 1 species
AUUGAACGCUGGCGGCAGGCCUAACACAUGCAAGUCGAGCGGAUGAAGGGAGCUUGCUCCUGGAUUCAGCGGCGGACGGGUGAGUAAUGCCUAGGAAUCUGCCUGGUAGUGGGGGAUAACGUCCGGAAACGGGCGCUAAUACCGCAUACGUCCUGAGGGAGAAAGUGGGGGAUCUUCGGACCUCAUGCUAUCAGAUGAGCCUAGGUCGGAUUAGCUAGUUGGUGGGGUAAAGGCCUACCAAGGCGACGAUCCGUAACUGGUCUGAGAGGAUGAUCAGUCACACUGGAACUGAGACACGGUCCAGACUCCUACGGGAGGCAGCAGUGGGGAAUAUUGGACAAUGGGCGAAAGCCUGAUCCAGCCAUGCCGCGUGUGUGAGGAAGGUCUUCGGAUUGUAAAGCACUUUAAGUUGGGAGGAAGGGCAGUAAGUUAAUACCUUGCUGUUUUGACGUUACCAACAGAAUAAGCACCGGCUAACUUCGUG